ACCUUGUGAUCUGCCUGCCUUGGCCUUCCAAAGUGCUGGAAUUACAGGCAUAAGCCACUGUGCCCGGCCCGGAUUUUUUCCAGAGAAGUAAACCAGGGGGAAAUUUGGAAAAAGACACACAAACCCAGACACCAACAUCUGGAAACCUGGGAGAAAGCCAUGUGCAGACGAAGGCAGAAACUGGGGUAAUGCUUCUACAAGCUAAGGAACACCAAAUGCUCCUGCAAGCUAAGGAACGCCAAAGAUUGCCAGCAAACCACCAGAAGCUAGGGGAGAGGAAUGGCACAGAUUCUUCCUCACAGUCCACAGAAGGAACCAAACCUACCAACACCUUUAUAUGGGAUGUCUAGCCUCUAGAACUGUAAAAUAAUAAAUUUAUGUUUGGCAGUCCUGGGAAACUAAUACAAUCAGUAUUCCAGUUGGGAGGUAAUUUUGAUUUUAAAUUUUAUUAUUUAUUAUUUUAUUAUACCUUAUAUUAAGUAAUUGUCAUCAUCUUCAUUCCCAAAAAGUCUAUGAGAAACAAUAGUUUUUUUUGAUGCAGUCCUAAAUUAAGGUCAAGUGAGGAAAUUAGGAUCACUGAGCCUUCAGAAGUAGCAUUUUAACAAGCUUAAUCUUUUUUUUUUUUUUUUUUUACAGCCCAGAGGUCUUUUAUUUAUUUAUUAACACCUGUUAUGCCAUGAAUUCAUAGGGAAUAGGUUCCAGCAGCUCAGGCUCCUUCGCAUUGGUUCUCACAAAGUGUGCUUCUCUGGGUGGAGCAGGCUGGUGCUUCUGUUGAACCCAGGUACCUUUCUAUUUGGCUUCCUUCUUUUUCUGAUCAUUUUCCUUCAUGUGUUUCAGGAAACUAUCUCAGCUUUUAGAGUGCUUAAUGUGCUCAAUACGCACAUUAAUUCUCUUGGCAAGAAUCUUGCCCUUAACUUGUGUGUUUACAACAAUGCCAACAGCAUGCUGGGGGACAUUAUAGACUCUUCCAGUUUUGCCAUGGUAACACUUGUGGGGCAUUCCUUUUUGAACAGUACCCAUUCCCUUGAUGUCUA
rnacentral:lncRNA from 1 species